GACGAACGCUGGCGGCGUGCUUAACACAUGCAAGUCGAACGCGCCUGUCCUCUGGGUUUCUGGGGGGUGGGUGAGUGGCGAACGGGUGAGUAACACGUGAGUAACCUGCCCCCUUCUUCGGGAUAACGGUCUGAAAGGGCUGCUAAUACCGGGUAUUCACUGGUCUCCGCGUGGGGUCUGGUGGAAAGGUUUUUUUCUGGUGGGGGAUGGGCUCGCGGCCUAUCAGCUUGUUGGUGGGGUGAUGGCCCACCAAGGCUUUGACGGGUAGCCGGCCUGAGAGGGUGACCGGUCACAUUGGGACUGAGAUACGGCCCAGACUCCUACGGGAGGCAGCAGUGGGGAAUAUUGCACAAUGGGCGCAAGCCUGAUGCAGCGACGCCGCGUGAGGGAUGGAGGCCUUCGGGUUGUGAACCUCUUUCGCCCGUGGUCAAGCCGCGACGUGGGUCGUGGUGAGGGUAGUGGGUAAAGAAGCGCCGGCUAACUACGUG
rnacentral:rRNA from 1 species